UACAGAGGUCCCGAGCGUUGUUCGGAUUCACUGGGCGUAAAGGGUGCGUAGGUGGUGAGGUAAGUCGGAUGUGAAAGCUCGGAGCUCAACUCCGAAACGGCAUUGGAAACUACCUUGCUCGAGGGUUGGAGGGGGGACUGGAAUACUUGGUGUAGCAGUGAAAUGCGUAGAUAUCAAGUGGAACACCAGUGGCGAAGGCGAGUCCCUGGACAACUCCUGACACUGAGGCACGAAAGCUAGGGGAGCAAACAGG
rnacentral:rRNA from 1 species